UGGAAGUAAAAGUCGUAACAAGGUCUCCGUUGGUGAACCAGCGGAGGGAUCAUUACCGAGUUUACAACUCCCAAACCCCUGUGAACAUACCACUUGUUGCCUCGGCGGAUCAGCCCGCUCCCGGUAAAACGGGACGGCCCGCCAGAGGACCCCUAAACUCUGUUUCUAUAUGUAACUUCUGAGUAAAACCAUAAAUAAAUCAAAACUUUCAACAACGGAUCUCUUGGUUCUGGCAUCGAUGAAGAACGCAGCAAAAUGCGAUAAGUAAUGUGAAUUGCAGAAUUCAGUGAAUCAUCGAAUCUUUGAACGCACAUUGCGCCCGCCAGUAUUCUGGCGGGCAUGCCUGUUCGAGCGUCAUUUCAACCCUCAAGCACAGCUUGGUGUUGGGACUCGCGUUAAUUCGCGUUCCCCAAAUUGAUUGGCGGUCACGUCGAGCUUCCAUAGCGUAGUAGUAAAACCCUCGUUACUGGUAAUCGUCGCGGCCACGCCGUUAAACCCCAACUUCUGAAUGUGACCUCG
rnacentral:rRNA from 1 species